AAAAUUCCUAUAAGAAUUUGGGACAAAAUUCCUAUAGGAAUUCCUAUAGGAAAAAUUCCUAUAGGAAUUUUGUCCCAAAUUCUUAUAGGAAUUUUUCCU
rnacentral:miRNA from 1 species